CUGCCGUGACCACGUUAAUGCCGGCGGGUAACACAUCUGUUACUCUAUCCGCUAGCUGCGAUAAUUCUUCAAGGUCGUACUUGGUAGCUGUCAAAAUGGCUUGCACCUGCUGCGGUAGUCGUUGUAACCACAAGGAUUUAAGCACUUUUUCGGAUACACCGGAUUGUGCAAGGUCUCGCAUUCGUCUAAGUAAUUGCGACGGGCGGCGAUCACCCAGAUCGAUCUCGUUUAAUAGUCUACGCAGUUUCUUUUCAGCGCUGUCCGCGAAACUUUUAAUUAACCUGUCCUUAAGCGCAUGAUAUUUGUCCGCCGCGGGAAGAUUAAGCACAAUAUCGCUAACCUCAGCUAAACAAGCUUUGUCGAGGCAUUGUAUCAUCGUAAUUAUACUUCGUUAUCGUCUACUGUUAUAUUCGCGGUAAAGAACUGAGCUUCCAUCUGCACGAACCAUAGAUCCGGCUUCGAUUUCCAAAACGGAUCUAAUACCGACUCGCGCGAGUGCGGGAACCUCUAUUACACGCGACGAUACACUGUUUUCUUGGUCGCCCGACGGCGGGUCGCCUGAGCCACUAGCCAUGACUAUUCGUUACAUGUACGCGUUGAUUAGGUUGAAAAUUUUUUACAGCGUAACGCGCCGUGAUCACGUCGGGGUCACCAACUGUGGCUAUUACGUUGUCGUGCUGGCCAAUCACUGGCGUAUUUCGACUGGCGGGAAAUAGAGAGUUAUAAUGAAUGUUUAAGCAGCUAGGCUUUACAUAAAAUAGUUUGCUUUAGUAAAAUCGCCAAGACAAAUAAACUCCACGAGUACGUGGACGUGAUCGCGUGCUUACAGCUCGAGCCUCAACGGCUAUGAUUCGAGGUUAGCUCUCGGGAACUUAUAGGCCUACUGUACGAGAGUAGUAGAGUCUACGCGAAUAUGGGUACAGGUAUCUGAGCUAACAUCACAAAUGAUCCCGGAGAAUUGAUUAGGAAAUAGAUUAAUCUUACUAAAUAAAACUUAGGAAAUAUUACGCUAUCGCUUGCGAACGUUCGCAUCAGGUACGCCAUGCACGGAGAGAGAGAGAGGGAGAGAGCGCACAAAAACGGAACAAACCAGCGCCGCCGCUAGCGCUACACUUUCCUAGAGUCCCUAGAAGUAGAGAGUCUGGACAUUUCGGGGUUCCAUGUGAUUGUUCACCUAAAAUGGCAGCACCAAUACGGAUCCUUGUUUAAUCCUCUUUAGCCAAUGCGAUAACAAUAUACAAUACGUUCAAGUGCACACAAUGAUAAACAUACACACACAUAAAGCUCACGUACAUACACUAACAUAUUCAUUACCGACAUUUUAGGGGCAGAUGUCCAGACUCUCUACUUCUAGGGACUCUACACUUUCCCGCCCGCUCGCGCCAUCUGUCGCCCACUCUUACACAUAGAUGUAUACGCAUCGCACUCGCUCGCACACCAUACGCAUACCCACGCUCGCACUCGACUGAUCCUCCUACACUAGUUAAAAAGUAAAUCAUUAAAAACGAAGUAAAUUAAAAAUUAUUAAUUUUUUAACUUUAUUAUUUAACUUUUAACUUUUCACUUUCUAUCCUUUCACUUACUAUCCAAUCCUGCAAAAAAAUUAGUAUUUUGGAUAUAAUUGCAAUAAGAUAUUUUUUAUUUUUAAUGUUUAUUUUUUUUUUUAAUAGUACGUAAUAGCGGCUGUGCAUUGGCGAAAAAGAAGAUAUUUUAAUAAAAACGUGUAUUGUAACUUUACAUCUGAUGGAAAAAUUGAUAACGUUGAAAUAUUCGCAUAUGCCAGUUAUGGUCUAGUCAAAUACAGACGAACAGAAAAAGAAAGGGGCUUUAUUAGAAAGUAACGCAAAAAAUUUAAUUGUAUUCUCAAAAAUACAGCACUAUGGUUUCUAUAAAUCCAUACAUAACUAUGUUUUUAUAUCUGUAAUAACUUAGACAUUAAUUAUUAUAAUUUGAAAACUUCAAAUCGAUUUAGACAUCCCUAACACUUUUUCUUUCAAGCGGUCACUUUAGGAUACUGAAAUAAAUAUGCGAGAAAAACAAAAAAUGACCAGUCAGAGGAAAAUUUUUUAUUAUUGCAAUAAACGCAUGGUAUGUUGUAGAGCUUAUUGUAGAAAUAAAAUUAUAAAUUAAUUUUGCAUUCUAGUUCUGGACAUGCUUCACGUACCAUUGUGAGGCCUAAAAGAUACAUAACAUUAUCAUCGGAGAAUGAGCUCUUACAAAAGCGUAAAAAUGUUAAUGUACGCACCAAGAAGAUUAUUCAUGCAAAUAUGGAUAAAGAAAUUGAAAUUAUCAAAGAAACAUUGAAAAAAGUUUCUUCAAGCACAAAUGCCACUGAUGCAAAUAAAAAAAUGCUUGAAUCCGAACAACAGAUAACAUCUAAGCCUAUACAGCAUACUCAAGUUUUCGCAGUGGAAAGUAAUCAUACAAAUAAUUCUCAGACACAUUUAAGAGAGACUUCUAGUACACAGUCGCACAAUACACUAAUUGGUUGUACCAAUGAUCAGCAGGUUGAAAUAUGUGGCAUAAAGCCGUACAGUUCGAUAAGUACUUGCAGAACGGAAGGUUCAGAACGAUACAGUCCGUACACUUACACGCAGCUUGUACCUAGUACAGCGACAUAUGCUUUUGAGGCGUCAAGAACUGCCGCAAGCAAUGUUGCAUUCCCUAUUGAAUAUUCUAGCUCCAAUAAAGUGGAUUAUUCCAACACAAUAAGAUUAUGAAAAUCCUACCGUUAAUAUCGAGAAUGUCUGAAUCUUCUCAAGGAACCUUAAGGCCACCGAUGUCGCAUACUAUAACAUCGUCCCAAUAUACAGGCUUUUCACAGAACCAAAACUAUGGAAAUUCUAAACGGAUAUCGUGUGGCUCGGCACCUCCGUGAAGUUGGCACCCGACUUUUACGAAAUCAAAUUUAAAAGUUGAAUAUUUCCAAUUUUGGGAGGGGGGGGGGUUGGACCCUUCACGAUGCUGUAAAAUAUUGCUUUAAAGAGAGUUUGUCAGACGAGGCUAUACGCCACUUUUCUGCAUGGGGAGAGGGGGAAAUUUUCCAUUAUCAACGACAAAAUUAAUUAAAGCUAUAUAUGAUGCAAUUUCUGGAAAUACUAAUUUUCCGCAGCCAACACGCAAAGAAUUUUUCAGAGAAAUUGGGGAAGCGGUACGUUUCGGUAAAUAAAGAUAUCGUAAUACGAUUAACCGAAAAUCAG